rnacentral:rRNA from 1 species
UACGUAGGGGGCAAGCGUUGUCCGGAAUCAUUGGGCGUAAAGCGCGUGUAGGCGGUUCUGUAAGUCUGCUGUGAAAGUCGGAGGCUCAACCUUCGAAAGCCGGUGGAUACUGUGGAACUAGAGUGCGGAAGAGGCAAGUGGAAUUCCUGGUGUAGCGGUGAAAUGCGCAGAUAUCAGGAGGAACACCAACGGCGAAGGCAGCUUGCUGGGACGUUACUGACGCUGAGACGCGAAAGCGUGGGGAGCAAACAGGAUUAGAAACCCCGGUAGU